UUCCGCCCUUCAGUGCUGCAGCUAACGCAUUAAGCACUCCGCCUGGGGAGUACGACCGCAAGGUUGAAACUCAAAGGAAUUGACGGGGGCCCGCACAAGCGGUGGAGCAUGUGGUUUAAUUCGAAGCAACGCGAAGAACCUUACCAGGUCUUGACAUCCUUUGACCACUCUAGAGAUAGAGCUUCCCCUUCGGGGGCAAAGUGACAGGUGGUGCAUGGUUGUCGUCAGCUCGUGUCGUGAGAUGUUGGGUUAAGUCCCGCAACGAGCGCAACCCUUAUUGUUAGUUGCCAUCAUUCAGUUGGGCACUCUAGCAAGACUGCCGGUGACAAACCGGAGGAAGGUGGGGAUGACGUCAAAUCAUCAUGCCCCUUAUGACCUGGGCUACACACGUGCUACAAUGGGAAGUACAACGAGUUGCGAAGUCGCGAGGCUAAGCUAAUCUCUUAAAGCUUCUCUCAGUUCGGAUUGCAGGCUGCAACUCGCCUGCAUGAAGCCGGAAUCGCUAGUAAUCGCGGAUCAGCACGCCGCGGUGAAUACGUUCCCGGGCCUUGUACACACCGCCCGUCACACCACGAGAGUUUGUAACACCCGAAGUCGGUGAGGUAACCUUUUGGAGCCAGCCGCCUAAGGUGGGAUAGAUGAUUGGGGUGAAGUCGUAACAAGGUAGCCGUAUCGGAAGGUGCGGCUG
rnacentral:rRNA from 1 species